rnacentral:lncRNA from 1 species
AGCACAUCUGAGGAGAUUGAAUGUAUGAGCAGGAUCUCCUAUGUUUCAGCUAUAAGGAGCCUCAUGUACAUCAUAUUAUAUACUCGAUCUGAAUUAUCUUUGCUGUAAACAUCACAAGCAGGUAGCAGUCAAAUCCAAGUGAAAAGCACUAGAUAGCUGUGAAGAACAUCUUUAAGUACUUGAGAAGAACUAAAGAUUUGUUCUUAAUUUUUUGGGGA